GUCUACGGCCAUGCUACCCUGAGCAAGCCCGAUCCCAUCUGAUCUUGGAAGUUAAGCAGGGUCGGGCCUGGUUAGUACUUGGGUGGGAGACCACCUAGGAAGACCAGGUGCUAUAGGCG
rnacentral:rRNA from 1 species